GGGGCUGAUUCUGGAUUCGACGGGAUUUGCGAAACCCAAGGUGCAUGCCGAGGGGCGGUAGGCCUCGUAAAAAGCCGCAAAAAAAUAGUCGCAAACGACGAAACCUACGCUUUAGCAGCUUAAUAACCUGCUUAGAGCCCUCUCUCCCUAGCCUCCGCUCUUAGGACGGGGAUCAAGAGAGGUCAAACCCAAAAGAGAUCGCGCGGAUGCCCUGCCUGGGGUUGAAGCGUUAAAACGAAUCAGGCUAGUCUGGUAGUGGCGUGUCCGUCCGCAGGUGCCAGGCGAAUGUAAAGACUGACUAAGCAUGUAGUACCGAGGAUGUAGGAAUUUCGGACGCGGGUUCAACUCCCGCCAGCUCCACCA
rnacentral:tmRNA from 1 species